rnacentral:misc_RNA from 1 species
AACGCAAAUUGCACUCUCUUCGGAGAGUAUGCCUGUUUGAGGGUCAUUAUAAUUAAAAUCGGUGUGUUGCUUUUGUGACGCUCCGGAGUUUGAGUUAUCUUAACCUUUUUUUUAAGAGACUUAAAAUUGACAUCUUUUUGCGCAUUUUUAGACGUACAUAAAUUUUUUUAUUCGUUUAUUUUAAUGCCAAAAUCUAUUAGAUGCGACCAAUAUUGUAUGGUUACGUAUCUAUAAUUUUCAUGAUUUGACCUCAAAUCAGGUAGGAGUACCCGCUGAACUUAA